AGGGUGAUAAAUAUGGAUCUAUUUGUAUUCAUCUACAUGAAGAUAUCUAGUUAAACCAGCACUAUUUGUUGAAAAUGCUUUCUGUUUUCCAUUGUAUGGUUUUGGAUUCUUUGUCAAAAAUCUACUGUCUGUAGGUAUGUGGAUUUAUUUCUGAGUCUGAAAUAUGAUUCCUUUGAUUAACCAUUCUGUUUGUAUGCCUAUACCAUGUGGAUUUUUUUUUAAUUGCCAUUGCUCUGUAGUACAAGUACAGCUUGUAAUCAGGGGUGGUGAUAUCUCCAGAAGUUCUUUGUUUUAUCUAUCCUGGGUUUUUGGUUUUUGGGUUUUUUGUGUUAAUUUUUGUAUCCAGCCAUUUUGCUGAAGGUGUUUAUCAGCAGUAGGAGUUCAUGAGUAGAACUUGGUGUCACUUAUGUAUCAUAUCAUCUGCGAAUAGCAAUACUUUGACUUCUUCCUUUCUAAUUUGUGUCCCCUUCAUUUCCUUUACUUAUCUUAUUGUUCGAGGUAGAACUUCAAAUACUAUAUUGAAUAAAUACAGAGGGAGUAGAGA
rnacentral:lncRNA from 1 species